CAAACCGUAAACUCAAAGGCACUCGUUCGAUAUAAAAUAGUUUUUGACGAAAAUGAAAACGUGUCAGUUUGUUAUUUUCACGAGGUUGGAGUAAUACAAUGUUCAACUACUUAAGACAGUGGCUCGAAUCUAGGUUUUGCCUUUAGAUUUCGAGAAAAUGAACAACUAAGGAAUAAURUGUCACUUCUCUCAUACACUAAACCCCGACCUGACCUGCUUCGCAAGCGUUCCUGGAAGUCUCGUGAUGUUGCGCCUUUGGGUUUAGAAACUGUGGAUUAUGUAGCUGUCUUUUUCCAACAACGGUUUCAAAAGGCUAGUUAUUUACAAUACCUGGCUGAAAAUUACAACGUUCUUGUUAUUAUAACCAUUUUGUAUUUUAAUUUAUGUAUGUAAUUUAGUAAGAGCAGCAGCUACCGUCUCAGUCUGGGACUAAGAGAGUCGUCAAUGGACAACUGCAAAUUCUUUAGGAUUAUAAAUUCUUCCGAUGAGAUGUGAACGUGGAGUCUUUCCAGAUCUUCUCGUGCUCUGGCUGUCCGUUCUCCUAUCACCUCUCAGAUCUUCCUCCUCAGGCACAUAAAGAGAUGUCACCAUGAUAUGUAUGUCAGACUGUUGAGGAGUGGAGAGAUCAGAGAAUCUCAUGUCCUUCAGCAGCUCACAACACCAUGGAACCACCACAGGUUCAUUCAACCCAGCUCCCACCAGGAAACAGAAAGAGAUGGACAAGGCACGGCCACGGCCACACCACUGUUCUCAGUGUGGGGAGAGCGUCAUUAAAGAUCAUCUUAGAACACACCAACGCAUUCACACAGGAGAGAGGCCGUUCCACUGCUCCCAGUGUGGGAAGAGUUUCAAUACAGGGAGUGAUUACAAUAGACACCAGCUCACUCACACAGGAGAGAAGCCGUUCCACUGCUCCCAGUGUGGGAAGAGUUUCAGGGAGUCAGGAAAUUUAAAGAUACACCAGCGCAUUCACAUAGGAGAGAAGCCAUUCCACUSUUCCCAGUGUGGGAAGAGUUUCAGGAAGUCACACCAGCGCAUUCACACAGGAGAGAAGCCGUUCCACUGCUCCAAGUGUGGGAAGAGCUUUGGUUUCAUACACGUUCUAACAGCACAUCCAGCGCACUCACACAGGAUAGAAACCGUUCCUCUGCUCCCAGUGUAGGAAGAGUUUGUCAAGAGUAAUCUCAGAACACACCAGCACAUUCACACAGGAGAGAAGCCGUUCCACUGUUCCCAGUGUCGGAAUACUUAUAUUCGAAAUCUAAAGACACACCAGUGUUCUUAAAGAGUAAAGAAGAUUUCACUUGUAAAUGGGAUGGUAAUGUGACAAUGAGAUUCAGUAACUUUAUAUUCUAUCAAGAAACAUGGCUGAUGUCUUUUGUACAUAGAUACCAGGUUUGGGGUUAGUUCAGGAAGUACAAUUUAAAUUCCAAUUCUCUUCCAAUGUUUUCCAAUUAGUAAAAUUUGGAAUUGACCCCAACUCGGAUAGAUCAUGUUGAAUUAUUCUGAUAUGAUAUUCACAGAACUCAAAUUUGAAUAUAGUAAAUUACGCAUGUGUAUAUUAACUGUAAAUAUUUAACUAAUCUUUGAACUGAAAUGUAUACCCCCUCUAAUCAUAAACAUGGCAAGAUUUAAAUCUGUUUUUUGAUAUCACAAUAAAAUACACAUCUCCUCUC